ensembl:snoRNA
AAUGCCCCUUGAGGCGUUGCAGCCCAACUCAGUGUUGCAGCUGUGUCAUAAGGUGGCAGAGAGAGAGACUGGUGGUAGUCUGCACUGAGACUCUACGACACGCCGAGGACUCGGAGUGAUUCUCACCACCGACACU